rnacentral:lncRNA from 1 species
AAAGUAAUUUAUUUGUGCUCAGGAUUCAAGAGCGUGACAAACAGGGUUGCACCCUAGUCAUCAGUAGAUGAAGGAUGAUCCCCUAGUGGUCGCCUUAGUUAUGCAUUACCUGGGAGGUUGCCUCUACAAAUACACUGCUUUUUCAUUUUGUAAAUUUCUUUUCGUUUUUAGGGCCGGAAGAAAAUGGUCCUUUCCAUGCAAGAGGCGCUUUUGGAAUUUAGUGAGAAAGAUGAUGAGAGACAUGAAGAGAUCUUAAGGAUGUUGACGUUGUUCAGCACUGCAUCAAAGAAAGCUCGUCUUGCACAGAGGGAAUUGUCCAAUGCAAUCACUGAGGAUAUCAAGGCAUGUGAACCAAACUUUGCCGAAGUCAUGAGUGUCUUGAACAAGGUUGAAGACAAUCUGAAGCAUCAGCAAGACUCAACCGUGGAAAAGUUGCAAUCUUGGAAGAACUCGGAAAGUGAGCGGUUGACUGCUAUUAUCGGGAGUGUUGAAAACCUAUCAUCAGUUUCGAAAGAAUCUCAGAAAAGUUUUGACUCCUGGAGUGCUGGUUUUAAUGAAGGCUUGAUCGAAAGCGAUACCAAGGAAGAACAACGUGAAAAAGAGCAAGAAGAGGUAAGAAAUUUUUCUAGAUUCAGAUGAUACCUCUAUCGUAUGUCUAUCAUUUAUAUCUCCAUUAGACUUUUUCCAUCUGCAAACUCUGGCUAAGACUACUAAGAUCUUCUGAGUUUCCUCCUUGUCGCCGCAGGAUGUCUUCUUAGGAUUUGUGGCAGUGAAAAGUUGCACAUUCGUGCAUUAUUAUAGAACUCCUUUUCAUAAGAAGGAAAUUAAGUUCCUCACACUUAGCUGACAGAGCAUCACUGUCAUGUAGCCGUGUCUGUUGAAAAUAUCGGAAUCGGAUGUGUCGUUUUUCAGGUGAAAAUAAGAAUUGGUUUCUCCUCUCAAGACUUCAGUCCCUAUAAAAUUUUAUUGGAGAAUGAAGAGUCUCAGAUAAAGAAACUAGAAAAUUAACUCAGACUCACAACAUUCUUAAAGGAUAAUUUCAUAAUGAUUACCUUUUUCCUUUUCUUUCUCAUCUGUUAAAAUAAAGCGAUACUUGAUGUUCUCCGUUUUUCAUGAUUCCAGGGCAUUCUUGAAGAAGUAAGCAACCAGAUAUCACAGUCUGAAAUAGUUCUAAAUGACUAUGCGGAAUGCCAUCUAACAUCCAUCUCUGAAAUGGGCAAUAUCAUGCAAGAUCACCUUGCAAAUGCUGAAAAAUUACGUAAAGAACUAGAAGAAAACAUGCAUGCUCAAAACAACGUCCUCGAGAAAUUUGUUCAGGAGGACUUCAAGAAGGAUGUCCCCACAGGUAUCUAUAAAAAUUAUGUUGAAGUGACGUGAUGUUGUAGUGGAUCUAAACAGGGUAUAAUUAGCUACAAAACAAAACUUUACCAGAAGAAUUCUAAUCAGAAAAUAACUCUUUCUCUUAAAAUAUUUUUCUCUUGAAAGAACAUGUACACGACUGUCUAUGGGAAGUCAGUAGGUCACACAGUCUUGAAGAUUCUUGCACAUAUAUAUCCUUGAAUUUUCCCCCCUUAAGUUUCAAGUCCUUGGAAAUGUGUUCAUGGCUCGUGUGAAAAGUCAUGAAAGCAUUUGGAAGUGUUUGACGUUGGAAAUUAAGGGUCUAAUAUUAGAGGAAUGAAAUUUUUCAGAAAAUUUUUCGAACCUAGGGACUUCAUCAGAUAAAAGUUUUUCUGCAGAUAAGUUUUGAGUAUGUUGUGGUUGCAUUGACUUAUCACACGGAUUUUUGGAGAUAAAUUUAUUUUGCAGUAGAAUAGAAUAACUUCAAAAAACGCUGUAAUGACCACAAAAGAGUCCAUGAAGUUCUUGCAUUUUCAGUCCAUAGUUCUCGAAAAACUUCGGAAAAGUCUCUAACAAGCCUUUAGAAGUUCUAGAAUUUUGUUUCAUUCUAUACACCUAAUCUGUGGUUCAUAUUUUUUUAACUAUAUAACGUUUAGUUAGGACAGGUUAGUUCUGAUUUGGGCAUGAUACUGUAACACCAUUGAUUGUCCUUACGGCUGUGUACCAUUACUGUUGUUUUCAUUUUGUGCUGAUGAAUACGCAGUGCUAUUAAGACACAAUUGCUCCUCUCAUAGCAUCCAUACAGCUGUAAUUAAAAUCAUAAAUCAUUUGCAAAUUUUCGCAGAGCUCUUAUCACCGAAGGUGGCAGUUGUUUAUUUUUGACUCCCAUGUCUAGUAGACUGUUUUAUUAAACAGCGUGUAGAAGCAUCAUGGGCUCUUGGUUAGUCCUCUAUUGCAAUGGGACAGCAGCAGUAAAGCAGCUUGCUAAGAGAAAGUUAAAGAUUGCCAAGUUAUCUGACACUAAUUGUGGUCAUAAUGCCUUUUUUAAAUGUAUGCUAUUUAUUUAUUUUUACUCAAUGGAGGUAAUAUUUGUAGUAUUUUUGAGGACUUCCAAAUGUUUUUGUAUUUUACCUUGCAUAGUUUUACAUGACAGAGCAUUCAUCCUUUUUUUCUUCGCCAGGCUCUACUCCGCAGAAACGUGAAUUUGACUAUCCACAGGACCUCACGGCCACCUCUCCACAUGAAAUAAUUCUCGCCAGAUUCCGAGAGACGGUCAAUCAUGAACUUUCUUUCAAUGAUUCUUUAGCAGAGUCAAUCCAUUCUGAGGCCUCACAGGUACGUUGAAUGCUAAGUAACUUUUAAAACAUUUGUAGC